AAUAGAUACCCCGGUAGUCCACGCCGUAAACGAUGGAUGCUAGCUGUUAUGCGUAUCGACCCGUGUAGUAGCGAAGCUAACGCGUUAAGCAUCCCGCCUGGGGAGUACGAACGCAAGUUUAAAACUCAAGGGAAUUGACGGGGACCCGCACAAGCGGUGGAGCGUGUUCUUUAAUUCGAGGCUAAGCGAAGAACCUUACCAGGGCUUGACAUCCUUGGAAUUUCUCCGAAAGGAGAGAGUACUUUAUUGGACCAAGUGACAGGUGCUGCAUGGCCGUCGUCAGCUCGUGUCGUGAGAUGUUUGGUUAAGUCCAUUAACGAGCGCAACCCUUAUGAAUAGUUGUAUUUUUCUAUUCAGACUGCCCCGGCAACGGGGAGAAGGGGGGAUGAUGGUCAGGUCAGUAUUGCCCUUACGCCCUGGGCUAGAAACGCGCUACAAUGGCCGGUACAAUGCGCUGCCAACCCACGAGGGGAGCAAAUCGCAUCAAGGCCGGUCCCAGUUCGGAUAAGAGGCUGAAACUCGCCUCUUUGAAGCCGGAAUCGCUAGU
rnacentral:rRNA from 1 species